AUUGAACGCUGGCGGAAUGCUUUACACAUGCAAGUCGAGCGGCAGCGCGGGGCAACCUGGCGGCGAGCGGCGAACGGGUGAGUAAUGUAUCGGAACGUGUCCUUGAGUGGGGGAUAGCCCGGUGAAAACCGGAUUAAUACCGCAUACGCAGGAGACUGGAAAGCGGGGGAUCGCAAGACCUCGCGCUGGAGGAGCGGCCGAUAUCCGAUUAGCUAGAUGGUGAGGUAAAGGCUUACCAUGGCUGUGAUCGGUAGCUGGUCUGAGAGGAUGAUCAGCCGCACUGGGACUGAGACACGGCCCAGACUCCUACGGGAGGCAGCAGUGGGGAAUUUUGGACAAUGGGGGCAACCCUGAUCCAGCCAUUCCGCGUGAGUGAAGAAGGCCUUCGGGUUGUAAAGCUCUUUUGUCGGGGACGAAACGGUUACGGUUAAUACCUGUGACUACUGACGGUACCCGAAGAAUAAGCACCGGCUAACUACGUGCCAGCCGCCGCAGUAAUAC
rnacentral:rRNA from 1 species